UACGAAGGGGGCUAGCGUUGCUCGGAAUCACUGGGCGUAAAGGGCGCGUAGGCGGAUCUUUAAGUCGGGGGUGAAAGCCCAGGGCUCAACCCUGGAAUUGCCUUCGAUACUGGAGAUCUUGAGACCGGAAGAGGUAAGUGGAACUCAUGGUGUAGCAGUGAAAUGCGUAGAGAUCAUGAGGAAGACCAGUGGCGAAGGCGGGUCUCUGGACAGUUCCUGACACUGAGGCACGAAGGCCAGGGGAGCAAACGGG
rnacentral:rRNA from 1 species